rnacentral:sRNA from 1 species
UUAGAGAUGCUAGAGAGUCAAGGCUCUUAGAUUUGUGCCUGUCUAGAGGCUCCCAUAUCAAGUCUCAAGUUCCCACUCUUUCCCAAAAGCACCUUUUACCUUAGCAUAAGAGACUUAGCAUAAAUAUAUCUUUAUCUGGUAUGUGAUCCUGAAACCUCUACAUUUAGCCUCAGCCAUGUCCCUUGCAGCUUCAUAAAAUAAAGAUUCAUUUAAAGCCACCAUAAAAACUUUCUGAUUCUCUGCCCAUGCCUUGAGUUGAGAUCUCAAGGCACUAAGCUUAUUGUUCUUUUCGGAAUCUCUUCAGCACAGUCAAAAGAAGCCAUCUCACCCCACAAACUUGGAAUCACCAUGAUGCCAUAGCAAUCAAGUGCCACAGCCACUUACUUUCCCAGUGCCUUGCCCUCCUGUUACCUUCUGUUCCAGUGAUAUUUGAGUAACCGUGAUGCCACCACAUGCUACAGAUUAGCAGGGUCCCACUUCUCUCUAGAAGACAACUGUUAGUUUUGUGGCUUACUGCUGCUCCACCCAGUGUCUGCAGACUUUUGACCUGCUGAGUUGAUAAACACUCAAGAACCUCAGGAGCGCUGCCAGCUUGACACUGGGGAAUCCAGCCAGUCCAGCACACUCUUCCAUCCUGUCCUGUCCAAUGCGGGGGCACUGCAGAACUCUCUGGAAAUGUCAUGAUUGAGCUUCAGAGCUAAAAUGCCUUCACCCUUCCCCCAAGUUGGAAUAUAUCCUCCCCCAAAUUAAGG